rnacentral:rRNA from 1 species
AACGAACGCUGGCGGCAUGCCUAACACAUGCAAGUCGAACGAGACCUUCGGGUCUAGUGGCGCACGGGUGCGUAACGCGUGGGAAUCUGCCCUUGGGUUCGGAAUAACAGCGAGAAAUUGCUGCUAAUACCGGAUGAUGACGUAAGUCCAAAGAUUUAUCGCCCAAGGAUGAGCCCGCGUAGGAUUAGCUAGUUGGUGAGGUAAAGGCUCACCAAGGCGACGAUCCUUAGCUGGUCUGAGAGGAUGAUCAGCCACACUGGGACUGAGACACGGCCCAGACUCCUACGGGAGGCAGCAGUGGGGGAAUAUUGGACAAUGGGCGAAAGCCUGAUCCAGCAAUGCCGCGUGAGUGAUGAAGGCCUUAGGGUUGUAAAGCUCUUUUACCCGGGAUGAUAAUGACAGUACCGGGAGAAUAAGCUCCGGCUAACUCCGUGCCAGCAGCCGCGGUAAU